rnacentral:rRNA from 1 species
AUUCCAGCUCCAAUAGCGUAUAUUAAAGUUGUUGCAGUUAAAAAGCUCGUAGUUGGAUUUCUGGUUUGAUGCCCUGGCCCGCUUCAAAUUUUGGAGUGUGUGCCGGCUGUGCGUCUGCCGUCCUUCUAGAAAACGUUCGUACCCUUCACUGGGCCGCGUUCGAGAUCUAGAUCUUUUACUUUGAAAAAAUUAGAGUGUUUAAAGCAGGCAGUUGCUAUGAAUACAUUAGCAUGGAAUAAUAAUCUAGGACUUCGGUUCUAUUUUGUUGGUUUCUAGUACUGAAGUAAUGAUUGAUAGGGAUAGUUGGGGGUGCUAGUAUUGAGCGGCCAGAGGUGAAAUUCUUGGAUUCGCUCAAGACUAACUUAUGCGAGAGCAUUCACCAAGGAUGUCUUCAUCA